GCCACUGGCUCCCAGCAGCAGGCAUCUCCCCUCUCCUCGGCGGCGCCACCGCCGCCGACCCUCGCCACGCCCAGCAACCACGGCGGUCUGCACGAACAAAGUCGAUCUGUUAUUGUGCAAUAUGCAACCGGGGAAAUGGUAUGGCAGUGAUGAUAAAUUUAAGGCUUGUUUCUCAAAACAUUCGCAGUUGCCGCCUAAGAGCUUUCGCCCAGCCAGGCUUGAGAGCUAAUGCUGCUAAUUCCUUCCUUGGAUGUCUGAGCCUUGUUACCAUCCCCAUUUUGUCUUUGUUUCAGUUUUAUUAGUCUGUUGUCUGCACUGCAUGGCUCUUUGCAUUAAAUGAAGAUCAGUUGAAGGCUUGUUUACAUUUUUGAGUUGCUGCCAUAGUGUUUUUGCUAAUGCUGCCACAUCCUUCCUUUGAAUCUUUUGAGGCUGAAACCAUCAUUUUGUUUAGGGAUCCAUUGUUGAAAAGCAAUGGUGAAGCGUGAGUGCCUAUCAACAAUGUUGAACAAGUGUUCCGUUGCCACCUGAAAGAAUGAGAAGGAAAGAAGGGCAGACUGAGCAUGGAUAUGGAUAUUUUUGUUAUUAGGUGUUAGAAGACCUGUUUGUGUGCAUGUUGUAUGGUUUCUGUGCUGGGUUACCCAACAUGCUUGUGUAUGUACUUCGGUGUGUGCAUGAAGACUAACAGGGUCCUUGUUUGGUCGAGGAUGCCCUUUGUAUUUUUGUUGAACAUUUGUAAUGGAUUUGAGUUCUUUCUAAUAAAGUGUGCUGUUUGGCUCA